UUAAGCGACUAAGCGUACACGGUGGAUGCCCUGGCAGUCAGAGGCGAUGAAGGACGUGCUAAUCUGCGAUAAGCGUCGGUGAGGUGAUAUGAACCGUUAUAACCGGCGAUUUCCGAAUGGGGAAACCCAGUGUGUUUCGACACACUAUCAUUAACUGAAUCCAUAGGUUAAUGAGGCGAACCGGGGGAACUGAAACAUCUAAGUACCCCGAGGAAAAGAAAUCAACCGAGAUUCCCCCAGUAGCGGCGAGCGAACGGGGAGGAGCCCAGAGCCUGAAUCAGUGUGUGUGUUAGUGGAAGCGUCUGGAAAGGCGCGCGAUACAGGGUGACAGCCCCGUACACAAAAAUGCACAUGCUGUGAGCUCGAUGAGUAGGGCGGGACACGUGGUAUCCUGUCUGAAUAUGGGGGGACCAUCCUCCAAGGCUAAAUACUCCUGACUGACCGAUAGUGAACCAGUACCGUGAGGGAAAGGCGAAAAGAACCCCGGCGAGGGGAGUGAAAAAGAACCUGAAACCGUGUACGUACAAGCAGUGGGAGCCUCUUAAUGGGGUGACUGCGUACCUUUUGUAUAAUGGGUCAGCGACUUAUAUUCUGUAGCAAGGUUAACCGAAUAGGGGAGCCGAAGGGAAACCGAGUCUUAACUGGGCGUUAAGUUGCAGGGUAUAGACCCGAAACCCGGUGAUCUAGCCAUGGGCAGGUUGAAGGUUGGGUAACACUAACUGGAGGACCGAACCGACUAAUGUUGAAAAAUUAGCGGAUGACUUGUGGCUGGGGGUGAAAGGCCAAUCAAACCGGGAGAUAGCUGGUUCUCCCCGAAAGCUAUUUAGGUAGCGCCUCGUGAAUUCAUCUCCGGGGGUAGAGCACUGUUUCGGCAAGGGGGUCAUCCCGACUUACCAACCCGAUGCAAACUGCGAAUACCGGAGAAUGUUAUCACGGGAGACACACGGCGGGUGCUAACGUCCGUCGUGAAGAGGGAAACAACCCAGACCGCCAGCUAAGGUCCCAAAGUCAUGGUUAAGUGGGAAACGAUGUGGGAAGGCCCAGACAGCCAGGAUGUUGGCUUAGAAGCAGCCAUCAUUUAAAGAAAGCGUAAUAGCUCACUGGUCGAGUCGGCCUGCGCGGAAGAUGUAACGGGGCUAAACCAUGCACCGAAGCUGCGGCAGCGACACUAUGUGUUGUUGGGUAGGGGAGCGUUCUGUAAGCCUGUGAAGGUGGCCUGUGAGGGUUGCUGGAGGUAUCAGAAGUGCGAAUGCUGACAUAAGUAACGAUAAAGCGGGUGAAAAGCCCGCUCGCCGGAAGACCAAGGGUUCCUGUCCAACGUUAAUCGGGGCAGGGUGAGUCGACCCCUAAGGCGAGGCCGAAAGGCGUAGUCGAUGGGAAACAGGUUAAUAUUCCUGUACUUGGUGUUACUGCGAAGGGGGGACGGAGAAGGCUAUGUUGGCCGGGCGACGGUUGUCCCGGUUUAAGCGUGUAGGCUGGUUUUCCAGGCAAAUCCGGAAAACCAAGGCUGAGGCGUGAUGACGAGGCACUACGGUGCUGAAGCGACAAAUGCCCUGCUUCCAGGAAAAGCCUCUAAGCAUCAGGUAACAUCAAAUCGUACCCCAAACCGACACAGGUGGUCAGGUAGAGAAUACCAAGGCGCUUGAGAGAACUCGGGUGAAGGAACUAGGCAAAAUGGUGCCGUAACUUCGGGAGAAGGCACGCUGAUAUGUAGGUGAAGCGACUUGCUCGUGGAGCUGAAAUCAGUCGAAGAUACCAGCUGGCUGCAACUGUUUAUUAAAAACACAGCGCUGUGCAAACACGAAAGUGGACGUAUACGGUGUGACGCCUGCCCGGUGCCGGAAGGUUAAUUGAUGGGGUUAGCGGCAACGCGAAGCUCUUGAUCGAAGCCCCGGUAAACGGCGGCCGUAACUAUAACGGUCCUAAGGUAGCGAAAUUCCUUGUCGGGUAAGUUCCGACCUGCACGAAUGGCGUAAUGAUGGCCAGGCUGUCUCCACCCGAGACUCAGUGAAAUUGAACUCGCUGUGAAGAUGCAGUGUACCCGCGGCAAGACGGAAAGACCCCGUGAACCUUUACUAUAGCUUGACACUGAACAUUGAGCCUUGAUGUGUAGGAUAGGUGGGAGGCUUUGAAGUGUGGACGCCAGUCUGCAUGGAGCCGACCUUGAAAUACCACCCUUUAAUGUUUGAUGUUCUAACGUGGGCCCGUAAUCCGGGUUGCGGACAGUGUCUGGUGGGUAGUUUGACUGGGGCGGUCUCCUCCUAAAGAGUAACGGAGGAGCACGAAGGUUGGCUAAUCCUGGUCGGACAUCAGGAGGUUAGUGCAAUGGCAUAAGCCAGCUUGACUGCGAGCGUGACGGCGCGAGCAGGUGCGAAAGCAGGUCAUAGUGAUCCGGUGGUUCUGAAUGGAAGGGCCAUCGCUCAACGGAUAAAAGGUACUCCGGGGAUAACAGGCUGAUACCGCCCAAGAGUUCAUAUCGACGGCGGUGUUUGGCACCUCGAUGUCGGCUCAUCACAUCCUGGGGCUGAAGUAGGUCCCAAGGGUAUGGCUGUUCGCCAUUUAAAGUGGUACGCGAGCUGGGUUUAGAACGUCGUGAGACAGUUCGGUCCCUAUCUGCCGUGGGCGCUGGAGAACUGAGGGGGGCUGCUCCUAGUACGAGAGGACCGGAGUGGACGCAUCACUGGUGUUCGGGUUGUCAUGCCAAUGGCACUGCCCGGUAGCUAAAUGCGGAAGAGAUAAGUGCUGAAAGCAUCUAAGCACGAAACUUGCCCCGAGAUGAGUUCUCCCUGACUCCUUGAGAGUCCUGAAGGAACGUUGAAGACGACGACGUUGAUAGGCCGGGUGUGUAAGCGCAGCGAUGCGUUGAGCUAACCGGUACUAAUGAACCGUGAGGCUUAACCUU
rnacentral:rRNA from 1 species